rnacentral:tRNA from 1 species
GCCAGUGUGGCAUAGUGGUUUGAGCAUUGGACUGCGACUCUGGAGACCAGGGAUCAAAUCUCCCCUCAGCCA